CCAAGAGAGGCCUCAAUGUGGUGCUGAUCAGCCGAUCCCUGCAGAAACUGAAACUGGUGGCAGCUGAGAUAGAAGAGCAGCAUGGCCGAAGCACCAGAGUUAUUGAAGCUGAUUUCACCCGGGGGUCAGAGAUCUAAGAAUCAAUCCGAACCACCCUGCAGGGCCUGGAGAUUGGCAUUCUGGUGAACAACGUCGGAAUGUUCUAUGCAACAGGACCAGUGAAUUUCCUGGAUAUCCCCAACAUUGAGAAGGUUUGUCUUGUUCAAAAAUUCUUGCCAGGCUGGUUUCUUGUCUUGCUGAUGAUCUGAUCUCCCUGGGACCAGGGAGUGAAGCUGGGUCUGGUUUUUUAGUGCACUCUGAGCACUGCUC